UGGUCGUUGUGUUAUGCACACGCCUGUUAGCCGCCGCGCGCGUCCGUUUCUCUAGCGUUUGCUAUUAUCACAGCCCAUAAUACCUGGCUGAUUAUCCAUUCAGCGAAGGCGUCGCUAGCGCUACUGUUAUGAUAAUAGCAACGCGCUGCGCGGGUAAUCCACAACGCAGCCGCGGCUCUCAGCUAUGCUAAUGCUGAUGGUGGGUGGCCGUGAACACAAACGGCGCUAGCACUAUAGCGCUAGCCCGAGCACUAGCACUAGCGCUAGCGUGAUGGUGGGGGUUAUUGGUAAUCGUCUCAUUGUUGAAUGGUUAACUAAUCGCCGGUCCCUGUGCUGGUGGAUCGGAGCUCUGACUGGGGCCUGUGAGUCCUGCACUGGGUGUGAGGAGACCCGGCAGGUAAUCGCUCUCCCCACGGAGCCCUUUGGAUCCUAGAGGAGACGGGGAUUAGCUCAUUUAGCACAUUUGAUUUGGUUAAGACGACCACCUGUUCGCCCGACGGAAUGCUAAUAUGUUACCGUGACAACAGCCAGGGAUAAAACUGUCUGGAGCGCGCGCUGGUCCUCCACCUUGGAAAUAUAUACCUACCAACCUCUCGCCUUCUCCGGUCUCUUCGUUAGCAUGAUUCCACUAAGUGAAGCCAUCUUCCUCCUCUGAGGUCCUCCUCCUCCUCCUCGUCCUCUGCUGUCUUCCCUCUCCCUCCCCUGCCCGCCGCUGAACAACGCCCGCAUCGCCAUAUUCAACUUCUCAAAGUUUCUGGGCUCACAGACCCCAGUCGAACCCGGGCAGAUCCACCAGGCAACAACACACGGAACCAGCAGAACAGAUCAAUAAAUCAGGACAAACCUCACGUGGACACACAACUGACCUGGAUGGAGAGCAGCGUUAGAGAUGAGACGGGAGACGAUACGGAAGAAAAGACUCACAACCCCCACAGCCAGCGCACACUCCCUAACGUUGAUGCAUCCAAACCCCUUCCUUCAACUGUGUGCGUGUUUGUUGGGGGAGGGGGGAGGAGAUAGAGAGGGAGAGAUAUAUCUGUACACAGAGCCUAAGGCCCAUGUGCUCAGCUCUCUGGAUGAAGACAUGCUCCAUUGGAAAUGAACGGAUGUUCUGAAAACGACCAAGCAGCCAAUGAAAUACGAGGGAGUAGUGGAACUUUAACCAGACCGCAGAGAAGUCCCUCAGAGGUGUCCUCCGGAGCCUGGCUGGCGGCUGCGUGGCAGACAGAACCGGCCCAGCAGGCUGAGCGGCGGCGUCGUGGUCCGGGGAGCGGAGGGGAAGGAGUCCGCCCCCCCCCUGCUGUGAAUGUACCAGAAGCCAACGGAGGAGGCUGCUGCUGCUGCCGCCGCCGCCGCCGCCGCCGCGGCGUCAGACAACAGAGGACUCACCUCCGAUGGGGGAGGG
ensembl:lncRNA